CAGCGCCGCAUCUCGUCUCGGGGACCUUCACCACCACCGCACGUGAGCUUGCGGGCAGCGUGAGCUUGCGGGGAGCGCCAUCCAGCCUGCCGCAGCAGCCGUCGCGGCCUUUGCCCCUGCUGCAGCCAUCAUCCCCACUCCCGCUGGCCACGAGCUCGAACAGAAGCAUCCUCGAGCCACCACUUCGUCCAUCUGGAUCUGGAGGCACCACCUGUAGCGCCCUCUACUGAGCACGACGCCUUGCGACAACCAUCCACAUCCAAGGUAGGGACGGACAACACGACGCCUUGCGACAACCAUCCGCAUCCACGUCUACCAGCAGUGCCGCGCGGAAAGGGCCCAGGAGGCCCAGGCUCUUCGUCGCCGCUGCCAUGGCUCCUCGCGGAUCCAGGAAUGUUUGCGAGGGAUCGAGAGCAGAAGGCUUUGCAAGCAUGUCAUCUUCAACUGGCAAUGAGAAUGUCUACUCGAACAGGUGAUAGGUUGGACAGUCUAGUGGAGUGUGGAGAAGAGUUUUGAUCUAAGUGCUGUUUCACAGGAAAUGAAGUGCUGACGAAGCCCAUCGAUGUGCACAUGAUUAGAGAAAAGUUGGCUAUGUUCUUAGUGGCACAGGUCAUCAACAAGAAAGGAGAGUUCUACCAUCCUAGUUAACCAUCAGUGAUGUGUGAUUGCCACUACUAAUAUGAGUCUAGUGUAGUGUUUGACUGAACAAGUUAUGUUCAUUGUUGUGAUGGAUUUCGAACAAGUUGUGAACCUGUUGUGAAUCUGUCAUGAACAGGAUCUGUUAACUUGAUAUCUAUUUGAAGAGCUUCUGUUAUGAACAUGUAGUAAUAUAUUGCUGAGUGCCUUUCAUAUGUACGUGUUGUGAACAUUGUGGUAUGUGGCUCUGAUGAAAAAUACGAGUGACAUUAAAGCGUAGACGUGUCA